CCAAUAGCGUAUAUUAAAGUUGUUGCAGUUAAAAAGCUCGUGGUUGAACUUCGGGAUCAAUGAGUUGGUCGUGCCCUUGGUAUGAACUGGCUUUAUUGGUUCUCACCUUCUAAUGAACCAUAAUGUCAUUCAUUUGAUGUUUUGGGGAAUUAGGACUGUUACCUUGGAAAAAAUUAGAGUGUUUAAAGCAGGCUCACGCUUGAAUACAUUAGCAUGGAAUAAUGAAAUAGGACAUCGCAUUCUAUUUUGUUGGUUUCUAGGAUCGAUGUAAUGAUUAAUAGGGAUAGUUGGGGGCAUUAGUAUUCAAUUGUCAGAGGUGAAAUUCUUGGAUUUAUUGAAGACUAACUACUGCGAAAGCAUUUGCCAAGGAUGUUUUCAUUAAUCAAGAACGAAAGUUAGGGGAUCGAAGACGAUCAGAUACCGUCGUAGUCUUAACCAUAAACUAUGCCGACUAGGGAUCGGAUGAUGUUGAUUUUUUAAUGACUCAUUCGGCACCUUACG
rnacentral:rRNA from 1 species